GCUGGGCGGCGUGUCUGAUUCAUGCAUGUCGAACGCGAACGUCACUUCGGUGGCUAUUAGCGUGGCGGAAGGGCGAGUAAUACGUGGGCAACCUGCCCCCGAGAUGGGGAUAGCCCGUCGAAAGACGGACUAAUACCGAAUGAUAUGCUCUGGUCGCAUGGCCUAAGCAUUGAAGGCGGGGAUCCCGUUCGCGGGACCUGUCGCUCGGGGAGGGGCUCACGGCCUAUCAGCUUGUUGGUGGGGUAAUGGCUCACCAAGGCUAAGACGGGUAGCCGACCUGAGAGGGUCUUCGGCCGCACUGGGACUGAGACACUGCCCAGACUCCUACAGGAGGCAGCAGAGGAGAAUCAUUCGCAAUGGGCGAAAGCCUGACGGUGCGACGCCGCGUGAGGGAUGAAGGCUUUAGGGUUGUAAACCUCUGUCAGGAGUUAAGAAUGCCGGUGGUGCCAAUAUCACCACCGAGUGACUAUCUCCAAAAGAAGCUCCGGCUAACUACGUGCCAGCAGCCGCGGUAAUACGUAGGGAGCAAGCGUUACUCGGAAUCACUGGGCAUAAAGGGCGUGUAGGCGGGUGCGUAAGUCCGAUGUGAAAGCCCCCGGCUCAACCGGGGAAUGCCAUUGGAUACUGCGUACCUGGAGUGCGGGAGGGGAGAGUGGAACUCUUGGUGGAGCGGUGAAAUGCGUAGAUAUCAAG
rnacentral:rRNA from 1 species